rnacentral:rRNA from 1 species
GAGUUUGAUCCUGGCUCAGAGUGAACGCUGGCGGCGUGCCUAAUACAUGCAAGUCGAACGCGAAAGUCCUUCGGGAUGAGUAAAGUGGCGCACGGGUGAGUAAUACAUGGGAACAUGCCCUUAGAUGGGGAAUAACGUUUGGAAACGAACGCUAAUACCGCAUAAUCUCGCGAGAGUAAAGGUGGCGCCGUAAGGGCUACCGUCUAAGGAUUGGCCCAUGUCCCAUUAGCUAGUUGGCGGGGUAAUGGCCCACCAAGGCAACGAUGGGUAUGUGGUCUGAGAGGAUGAUCACACACACUGGAACUGAGACACGGUCCAGACUCCUACGGGAGGCAGCAGUAGGGAAUAUUGCACAAUGGGGGAAACCCUGAUGCAGCAACGCCGCGUGAGUGAAGAAGGCCCUUGGGUUGUAAAGCUCUUUAGCGAGGGAAGAAGGUAGAUAUGGUGAAUAAUCAUGUUUGCUGACGGUACCUCGAGAAUAAGCACCGGCUAAUUUCGUGCCAGCAGCCGCGGUAAUACGAAAGGUGCAAGCGUUACUCGGAAUCACUGGGCGUAGAGCGCACGUAGGCGGACCCGUAGGUCAAUUGUGAAAUACCUGGGCUCAACCCGGGAACUGCAGUUGAAACCGCUUGUCUUGAAUACCUGAGAGGGUGGGGGAAUACCUGGUGGAGAAGUGAAAUUCGUAGAGAUCAGGUGGAACACCGGAGGCGAAGGCGCCUGCCUGGCAGUGUAUUGACACUGAGGUGCGAAAGUGCGGGGAGCAAACAGGAUUAGAUACCCUGGUAGUCCGCACCGUAAACGAUGGAUACUAGGCGUUCGGAGAGUUAACCCUCUGAGUGCCAAAGUUCACACAUUAAGUAUCCCGCCUGGGAAGUACGGUCGCAAGACUAAAACUCAAGGAAUUGACGGGGGCCCGCACAAGCGGUGGAGUAUGUGGUUUAAUUCGAAGCAACGCGCAGAACCUUACCUGGCCUUGACAUCGCGAGACCGGUGCAGAGAUGUACCUUUCCCUUCGGGGACUCGUAGACAGGUGCUGCAUGGCUGUCGUCAGCUCGUGUUGUGAAAUGUUCGGUUAAGUCCGGCAACGAGCGCAACCCCUGUUCUCAGUUACCAGCAUUAAGUUGGGGACUCUGGGAAGACCGCCGGUGUUAAACCGGAGGAAGGCGGGGAUGACGUCAAGUCCUCAUGGCCCUUACGGCCAGGGCUACACACGUACUACAAUGGUAGAAACAGACGGCUGCAAGACCGCAAGGUGGAGCUAAUCCGUAAAACACUAUCUCAGUCCGGAUUGAGGUCUGCAACUCGACCUCAUGAAGUUGGAAUCGCUAGUAAUCGCAGAUCAGCACGCUGCGGUGAAUACGUUCCCGGGCCUUGUACACACCGCCCGUCACACCACGAAAGUGGUCUUAACCAGAAGUGAGUGAGCCAACC